rnacentral:lncRNA from 1 species
AUUUUUUGAACGAAUGGAAACAAUUGUAAAUUCUUUAUGAUGAACUGGGUGCUGACUGUCACUGAAGCUAUCUGUUUGGACUAUCAGCCUUGUUUGUCUUGACUGUUUGCAUAGAAUGCAUUACUAACUUAUUACUGGAAGUCUUCAAAUUUCCUCAAAACUUGCCACCGGUGAAGAUGAACUCUGGUUUGUUGGUCAAGAUGAUGUUGCCUGAUGAGUAAGAGAGAAAAACCACUGAUAGUUAACACAAGAGCAGGAAGCAUAAGAGAAGAUACCAUGAUGUUAAUUAUCAACAGCACCAAUCUGCCAUUACCCAACAACAAGUAGGUGGUACAGUUUAAUCGGAGCAAUCUUGAC